UACAUGGGGUGCAAACGUUGCUCGGAAUUAUUGGGCGUAAAGCGCACGUAGGUGGUCAUUUAAGUCGAAUGUGAAAUCCCUCGGCUCAACUGAGGAACUGCCUUUGAAACUGUCGGGCUUGAGGCCGGGAGGGGGUAGCGGAAUUCCCAGUGUAGCGGUGAAAUGCGUAGAUAUUGGGAGGAACACCGGUGGCGAAGGCGGCUCUCUGGACCGAGACUGACGCUGAGGCGCGAAAGCGUGGGGAGCAAACAGG
rnacentral:rRNA from 1 species